rnacentral:rRNA from 1 species
GACGAACGCUGGCGGCGUGCUUAACACAUGCAAGUCGAACGAUGAACUUGGUGCUUGCUCUGGGGGAUUAGUGGCGAACGGGUGAGUAACACGCGAGUAACCUGCCCUGGACUCUGGGAUAACUUCGAGAAAUCGGAGCUAAUACCGGAUAGGACCUUGCCCCGCAUGGUGUGGGGUGGAAAGUUUUGCGGUUGGGGGUGGACUCGCGGCCUAGCAGCUUGUUGGUGAGGUAAUGGCCCACCAAGGCGUCGACGGGGAGCCGGCCUGAGGGGGUGACCGGCCACAGUGGGGCUGAGGCACGGCCCAGACUCCUACGGGAGGCAGCAGUGGGGAAUAUUGCACAAUGGGCGCAAGCCUGAUGCAGCAACGCCGCGUGCGGGAUGACGGCCUUCGGGUUGUAAACCGCGUUUAGUAGGGAAGAAGCCUUCGGGUGACGGUACCUGCAGAAAAAGGACCGGCUAACUACGUGCCAGCCGCCGCCGUAAGAC